ACCCACAGAUGUGAAUGUCGUGUGAUGUUGGCUUUCCAGUGUCUUGCAUGGCGUGGUAGCAGCAGAAAUGAGCUUGGCUGGGCACCCUCUCUGGGCCUUGGAGGCAAGCCUGGGCUCCUCUGAAAAUACAGGCAGCUUCCUUUCCCUGACUUGCCUGGAGGAGCCAGGCCCUGUGGUGCGGUCUGGCUCUGAGGCCUGUGGUCCUGCUUGGGACUGGCAGUCUUAGGCUGAGGGAACAUUUUCCAGAGUAUAGCCGAGGGACAGAAUGUCUCAGUAAGACGGGCUCGGAGGGGAAGUGUUUUGGAAAGGCCUCUGCUUGCUCUGGGAGGCGUUCAGGAUGCUGAGGUUUUGGAAAUCUAUGGCGGCUCUUCACAACUGCUCCCAGCUUUGGGAGGAGGAAUAGACGGGUGCUCGUUUCCUCGGGUUCAGUGGCAAAGGUGAAGACCAGCACUGCCGACCUGGGACCUGGGCCUCUCCCGGGCCUGGGGAGGACACUGGACUUUGAAGGGGAAUGCAGCCUAGAAGGCCUGGACCCUGGAGUCAGGAGAUGCUGCUCCCAUCCAGUAAGCCCUGGCUGGAGCUCUUCUGGGCACCAACCCUGGCAUAAAACCAGUGGGGCCUCUGGGCCUGCACUCAACAGUGCCUCUGAUGGAGCAGGUUCAGCUUGGUUGUGACCUCUGCUAGAAGCCCUCCCUGGCCUCCCUGUGCACUGAGCUGGUGGUUCCUCCUUUGCGCCCCAGGUACAUGCUCAGAUCUGUGUACCCUACACUUUGUCCUCCAGCUUCGUGUUUGGAUGUUCACAACUCCCAUGAGAAGGGCCCCCGAGAGCUGGCACAGUGCAUGUGUUUCCUCUCCAGACUUCUACAAACCUGGCACAUAAUUGUUUGCUGAAAGAUGGCAUGUUCCUAAAACAGAGGAAGUAGAACCGAAUAAAGCGAAAUCCAACUUCCCA
rnacentral:lncRNA from 1 species